rnacentral:rRNA from 1 species
UACGUAGGGGGCAAGCGUUGUCCGGAAUCAUUGGGCGUAAAGAGCGUGUAGGCGGCUCGAUAAGUCUGCUGUGAAAGUCCAGGGCUCAACCCUGGAAGGCCGGUGGAAACUGUCGGGCUAGAGUCCGGAAGAGGCGAGUGGAAUUCCCGGUGUAGCGGUGAAAUGCGCAGAUAUCGGGAGGAACACCGAUGGCGAAGGCAGGUCUCUGGGCAUUAACUGACGCUGAGGAGCGAAAGCAUGGGGAGCGAACAGG